CCAGGAAUUCUGGAGUGUCUCCAACUGAUGUGAACGUGAUGUGAUGAUAACACAGUGUAAACGGUGAAGUGACUGGAUCAGUAUCAGAGCCGCUGUGAGAUGAGAUUGGUGUGUCAGGGUCCUGAUGACGUGAGCACAGUGAAGGGGAAGCUGCACAUCUCCUGCUUCAGAGCGAACGAGCAGAUCAUCGACUCAGAAAGAGUGAGAGCUGGACACAACUACUGUCCACGGUCUCUGUGUGGUCCAGAUCACACUUGUGUUAGAUAUCAUGUCUUCUGAACCCAUACGAUAACUUUGAACAAAACUGAAGUUGUUUCUUUUACAUUUAAAUACAAUACUAAUAAUAAGACCAUCUUGCUAGUUUCUUUACAAACCAAUAAACUAAAACUGCUUCUUACUGUAUUUUCGUCCCUGUCCGAGGCAAGCUCAGCUUCUGUUCCCGAGGAACUGUGCACCCUCGUGACCCCAGAGGUGUAUCAAGACGAUUCGGGGAUAUUCAAACGCACAGCAUCAGAUCAGUUUGCUAGAAGUACAUACAGGACGGUUCAGAAAAGCAGUGUUUGGAGAUUGAUCCAGUGAUAAACUCUGAUGCAACCCCAGGCUAGACGUGGACAGCAAGUGCUCACUGAGUUUACUUUAGGUUUGAAAGUUUGUGAAACUGUUUUUUUUUACUUUUGCAUUAUAAAAUUAACUCUUUUAUUUAUAAACAGUGAUAUAGUGGAAGUGUAGGAACGUGCAGUCAAUUAUCAUUUCUUUAUUUUAUCUUUAUUCUUUUUAUAUAUAUAUAUAUGCUACACAAUUAUUGAAUUAUUUUCUGUUAACCUGAAUUUGCCUCCCAGCCGUGAAUAAUAAUGUGUGUUUGCUUGUAGCUGGACUGAAUAAGUCUCAUGUAAAGCUGCAUAUUUACGACGCACAGUGCAAGAGAAUCAAAUGUAUCUAAUA